rnacentral:rRNA from 1 species
CAGCAGCCACGGGAAUACGUAGGGUGCGAGCGUUAAUCGGAAUUACUGGGCGUAAAGCGUGCGCAGGCGGUUGUGUAAGACAGGUGUGAAAUCCCCGGGCUUAACCUGGGAACUGCGCUUGUGACUGCACAGCUAGAGUAUGGCAGAGGGGGGUGGAAUUCCACGUGUAGCAGUGAAAUGCGUAGAGAUGUGGAGGAACACCGAUGGCGAAGGCAGCCCCCUGGGCCAAUACUGACGCUCAUGCACGAAAGCGUGGGGAGCGAACAGGAUUAGAUACCCGAGUAGUCCCUGUCUCUUAUAA